GAUGUUGCAGCUAACGCGUUAAGUGUCCCGCCUGGGGAGUACGGCCGCAAGGCUAAAACUCAAAGGAAUUGACGGGGGCCUACACAAGCGGUGGAGCAUGUGGUUUAAUUCGAUGCAACGCGAAGAACCUUACCUGGACUUGACAUUUCAAUGACCGCUAUGGAAACAUAGUUUUUCUGAUUUCAAUCAGAACAUUGAAACAGGUGCUGCAUGGCUGUCGUCAGCUCGUGUUGUGAGAUGUUGGGUUAAGUCCCGCAACGAGCGCAACCCUUACCCUUAGUUGCCAGCGGGUAAUGCCGGGGACUCUAAGGGAACUGCCCAGAACAACUGGGAGGAAGGUGAGGACGACGUCAAGUCAUCAUGGCCCUUAUGUCCAGGGCUACACACGUGCUACAAUGGUCGGUACAAAGGGCAGCGAACUCGCGAGAGUAAGCGAAUCCCAUAAAACCGGUUUCAGUUCGGAUUGCAGGCUGAAAUUCGCCUGCAUGAAGUUGGAAUCGCUAGUAAUCGUGGGUCAGCAAUACC
rnacentral:rRNA from 1 species